UACGUAGGUGGCAAGCGUUGUCCGGAAUUAUUGGACGUUUAGCGCGGGCAGGCGGCCUCUUAAGUCUGAUGUGGAAGGCCCCGGCUCAACCGGGGAGGAGCAUUGGAAACUGGGAGGCUUGAGUAUAGGAGAGAAGAGUGGAAUUCCACGUGUAGCGGUGAAAUGCGUAGAGAUGUGGAGGAACACCAGUGGCGAAGGCGACUCUUUGGCCUAUAACUGACGCUGAGGUGCGAAAGCGUGGGGAGCAAACAGG
rnacentral:misc_RNA from 1 species